ACGUCAUAUAGACAUGAAAUACGUUUUGGUUGGACCGCUUGAUGAGGCUUUCAGUAAGCCGAUUAUGUGCCCACCUUACCAAGACGUUUCUGCAACUCUCCGUCGCCUUCCCAGCCUCCACCGCCACCUUCUAUAUAUGACAAUUUAAUGGAGGAAAAUGUAGACAAGACCCAAUUUUCAGAUUAAGAUUUCAUUCAUAUUUUGAGAAGGAAAAACAUAGACAUAUACAGAGACUCAGAGAGUAGUGUAGUGAAGAUGUUGAUGGGAAUAAGCUUGCAUUGCUUGAUGGACUUUGUGGUUGCUGGGUUCUCUCUCAUGAUUGGGUUAGGAAUUUUCGCCUUCGUUGCUUCAAUUCUCUGCUCUUCUGCUUUCUUCCAAAAUGCAAAGGAGCUUUCUUGAUUCUCCCUUACCCUAUGGCCCCAAAAUGGAUUUUACCCAGGCUAGCAAAACAUAUAUAGCGAAAACCCGAAAAAAAGAAAGAUGGAAAACAAGAAAAUCGAGCUGAAUAAUGGAAUCUUGAAGGGCGCGGUGUAUAGUAGCUUCAAUAAGCAAGCUCUAGAGAUAUGAAGCUGUGUAAGUAGUUUGUAUGGUUCCUUUGUGAAAGACAUUUUCUUUGCAGUUGAUGAGUUAGGAAUUAAACAUGAAAUGGAUUGCUAACAUUUUUAAUA